rnacentral:lncRNA from 1 species
UCACUCAGCCUCUAAGGUGAAUACCCACAAGUACACCCACAUCCUCCAGCCCCUUGGCACUCCCUCUCAUGGAGCCAGCUGGGCUGCAGUGAUCCUGGAGGGUGACCCUGUCUGAAGCUGCAGCCCACACACACCACUGGAGGCCGCAGCUGUGGAGGCAGACCCGGGCCUGCAGCAGAGCAGGAUCAAUGUCACCCAUAUCUUGUCAAUUGUGACUGCAAACUUCAGAAGGACUCAGAGUGGAAAGUCUUGGCAACCAUGUUGCGGUUCAGACAGUGGGAGCCAUGCUUCUGCGAAUGAGCCUGGGGACUGGGGACUGUGGUCCCAGCCCUGGAUUUGAUGAGGGGAGUAUCCCUGUCCUGCGAGGGUGCAGUGUCACUUUUCCACUCCCAUUUGGGGUCAACUCUUAACAGCAUCCCUG